AUUGAACGCUGGCGGCAGGCCUAACACAUGCAAGUCGAACGGUAACAGGAAGCAGCUUGCUGCUUUGCUGACGAGUGGCGGACGGGUGAGUAAUGUCUGGGAAACUGCCUGAUGGAGGGGGAUAACUACUGGAAACGGUAGCUAAUACCGCAUAACGUCGCAAGACCAAAGAGGGGGACCUUAGGGCCUCUUGCCAUCGGAUGUGCCCAGAUGGGAUUAGCUAGUAGGUGGGGUAACGGCUCACCUAGGCGACGAUCCCUAGCUGGUCUGAGAGGAUGACCAGCCACCCUGGAACUGAGACACGGUCCAGACUCCUACGGGAGGCAGCAGUGGGGAAUAUUGCACAAUGGGCGCAAGCCUGAUGCAGCCAUGCCGCGUGUAUGAAGAAGGCCUUCGGGUUGUAAAGUACUUUCAGCGGGGAGGAAGGGAGUAAAGUUAAUACCUUUGCUCAUUGACGUUACCCGCAGAAGAAGCACCGGCUAACUCCGUG
rnacentral:rRNA from 1 species